GGAAACUUGGAAACUACCGUUGAAUCGAGAAAUAGACGUCUGAGAUUCGUCCACGUCAUCAUGAGUUAAAAUUUAACUCGCAGAUUCACUCAUGAGUUAAAAUUUUACUCGGAGUUAAAUUUUAACUCAUGAUGACGUAAACGAAUCUCGGACGUUCAUUUCUCGAUCCAAUGGUAGUUUUCAAGUUUCC
rnacentral:pre_miRNA from 1 species